GACGAACGCUGGCGGCGUGCUUAACACAUGCAAGUCGAACGGAAAGGCCUGCUUUCCCUUGUGGAUUGCGGGUACUCGAGUGGCGAACGGGCGAGUAACACGUGAGUGAUCUGCCCCCAACUUGGGUAUAAGCCUGGGAAACUGGGUCUAAUUCCCGAUAGGCCCGCAGGGUGGCGCCUGCGGUGGAAAACGAUUUUCUAGUGGUUGGGGAUGAGCUCGCGGCCUAUCAGCUUGUUGGUGGGGUAAUGGCCUACCAAGGCGGCGACGGGUAGCCGGCCUGAGAGGGUGGACGGCCACAUUGGGACUGAGAUACGACCCAGACUCCUACGGAAGGCAGCAGUUGGGAAGAUUGGACAAGGGGCGGAAGCCUGAUGCAGCGACGCCGCGUGGGGGAUGACGGCCUUCGGGUUGUAAACUCCUUUCGACCGCGAGGAAGCCACCUAGUUGGAAGGGUGGUGACGGUAGUGGUAGAAGAAGCACCGGCUAACUACGUG
rnacentral:rRNA from 1 species